GUGCGAUUUCAAAUACAAAGUAUCAUUAACGGUUCCUCUCCUCAAACAACCACAGCGCAGGACUGUCGAACAAAAGAACCUAUACAUUUAACAGGGUUCACUGAGCAGCACUAAUCAGUUAAUGAAGACGUUGUAUGUUUCAUGAAUAUGGCUCUGUAGUGGACUGCUGGAGCUGCUGAUGUCUGUUGCUGGCUGAAAAUAAAGUGAUCUCUCUGGACUUACCUCAUCUUUUGAAGAAAUCCAAGCCUUGCUCCUGAUCCUGCUGUGCUGGAUGGUAUAUGAUUAAUUGAGAAUCUUACACUAACUGUGGUAAUGAAGACCCAUUUGGUGAGAGCAGCACUGCAGAUUUUCCUGAUGGUGAGGAGCUACUUGCUGACGAACCCACCAACAUGAUUUCACCUUAUAAGUGCCUUUGUUCUAUUCAACAUUAUACAGAAAAGCUGUUAAACGUACAGCAAAGUGUACUAUUUUUCUGCUGCAUUUGUUGGGUAUUCAAGAGGAGAUCAUCAAGCUACCUACAGCUGUCUUAAGGCUUAUCAAUUUCUUAAAAUUUCCUGUGUGAAUUUUCCCAAUCUGUGACCUCCAUUUAGAACAAGAAAGAAUGUUAUCAUUGACUGCGAUGUACAUUAAAUUUGCUCAUUUGAAUUGUACUAUUUUUGAGGUAUGAUUGUUUUAAAGUUCUAAGAUAUUUAUUUGUUUAUGGUUUUGUCAAGGUGUAAGUUUUAUUUAUUUUUUUUAUUUAUAACAAUAUUAACACUGGUGUUCCCAUGAAUUUGAUUGUGAUGUGCAGUAUUGAUUAUUUAUUUGAAACUUCUAUGGAUAUUGUUGUUGUUAAUCAAUAAACAAUGUUUGAUAUGUAUUCAUUUUAGUUUUUCU